rnacentral:rRNA from 1 species
AGCGAACGCUGGCGGCAGGCCUAACACAUGCAAGUCGAACGAAGUCUUCGGACUUAGUGGCGGACGGGUGAGUAACACGUGGGAACGUGCCUUUAGGUUCGGAAUAACUCAGGGAAACUUGUGCUAAUACCGAAUGUGCCCUUCGGGGGAAAGAUUUAUCGCCUUUAGAGCGGCCCGCGUCUGAUUAGCUAGUUGGUGGGGUAAUGGCCCACCAAGGCUACGAUCAGUAGCUGGCCUGAGAGGAUGACCAGCCACAUUGGGACUGAGACACGGCCCAAACUCCUACGGGAGGCAGCAGUGGGGAAUUUUGCGCAAUGGGCGAAAGCCUGACGCAGCCAUGCCGCGUGGAUGAUGAAGGUCUUAGGAUUGUAAAAUCCUUUCACCGGUGAAGAUAAUGACUGUAGCCGGAGAAGAAGCCCCGGCUAACUUCGUGCCAGCCGCCGCCGUAAGAC